rnacentral:rRNA from 1 species
AUUGAACGCUGGCGGCAGGCUUAACACAUGCAAGUCGAGCGAGCGGCGGACGGGUGAGCAAUGUCUGGGAAACUGCCUGAUGGAGGGGGAUAACUACUGUAAACGGUAGCUAAUACCGCAUACCAUCGGAUGUGCCCAGAUGGGAUUAGCUAGCAGGUGGGGUAAAGGCUCACUUAGGCGACGAUCCCUAGCUGGUCUGAGAGGGUGAUCAGCCACACUGGGACUGAGACACGGUCCAGACUCCUACGGUAGGCAGCAGUGGGGAAUAUUGCACAAUGGGCGAAAGCCUGAUGCAGCCAUGCCGCGUGUAUGAAGAAGGCCUUCGGGUUGUAAAGUACUUUCGGCGGAGAGGCGUUACCCGCAGAAGAAGCACCGGCUAACUCCGUGCCAGCAGCCGCGGUAAUUC